AGUCUCUGUUGAUCUGAGAGAGUGAAAAGUGUGUCAUUGUUCUCUACAGGUUGAGGAAGUGUGGUGUCACAGAUGACGGUUGUGCUGCUCUGGCUUCAGCUCUGAGAUCAAACCCUUCACACCUCAGAGAAUUGGAUCUGUCUGAGAAUAAUCUAGGAGACUCGGGAGUGAAGAUAGUCUCUGCUGUACUGGAGAAUCCUCACUGUAAACUGGAGAAACUGAGGUUGUGGGAUUGUGGUGUCACAGAUGAAGGUUGUGCUGCUCUGGCUUCAGCUCUGAGAUCAAACCCCUCACACCUGAGAGAACUGGAUCUGACAUAUAAUAAACUAACACAGUCAGGAGUGAAGCUGCUGAAGGAUCUGAAGGAUGAUCCACAUUAUAAACUGGAGACACUAUGGAUUUAGAUGACAGUCUGAUCUUCUGAUGAUCAUCUGAUGGUGAAUAAGGAUCCACUACAGAGACUCACAGUCAACAGAAUCAGAGACUGAAGAUACAGUGACUUCACUGUUAUAAAUUAAGACUUCAUUUAGAUUUCAAUGAUCCUCUGACAGACAUGAUGAGGCGGCAGAGAAACACCUUUUAUUUCACAGCAGCAAAUUACAGUUUCUCAUUCAGAGAUUAACCAUUUUAUGUGUAUAAAGGCACAGUAUAAACUCAGGGUUUUGUUACAGAGAAAAUAUAGAGCCUGAAUAUGUUUGUGUUUGUGUUGUACCAGCAGAGGGAGACAAAGACUAAUGAAAGAUUAAUUUUUAUUGAUUAUGGAGGAAAAAAACAGUUCAAGCUCACUUUAAGAAAACAAAUAAAGGAAGCUUGAGUGUAUACAUCAUGUUUUUAAUAAUAGUUGUAUUACAUUUGUAUUAAUGUAUUAAAGGGCUCAUAUGAUGCGUUUUCAUG